UCGGUACCGGUUCACGUCAGCCCCUGACGACCCGGCGACC
rnacentral:ncRNA from 1 species